GGACGAACGCUGGCGGUGUGCUUCACACAUGCAAGUCGAACGAGGUAGCAAUACCUAGUGGCGGACGGGUGAGUAACGCGUGGGAAUCUGCCUUUAGAUGGGGGAUAACGGGCCGAAAGGUCCGCUAAUACCGCAUAUGCCGCAAGGUGAAAGGAGUAAUCCGUCUAAAGAUGAGCCCGCGUCCGAUUAGCUAGUUGGUAGAGUAAGAGCCUACCAAGGCGACGAUCGGUAGCUGGUCUGAGAGGAUGAUCAGCCACAAUGGGACUGAGACACGGCCCAUACUCCUACGGGAGGCAGCAGUGGGGAAUUUUACGCAAUGGGGGAAACCCUGACGUAGCGACACCGCGUGAGCGAAGAAGCCCUUUGGGGUGUAAAGCUCUGUCAGCUGGAACGAAAACAAUGACG
rnacentral:rRNA from 1 species